AUUGAACGCUGGCGGCAGGCCUAACACAUGCAAGUCGAGCGGAGCGGCGGGCGGGCGAGUAAUGCAUAGGAGUCUGCCUGGCAGUGGGGGAUGACGUCCGGAAACGGGCGCUAAUACCGCAUCCUAUCAGCUGAGCCUAGGUCUGAUUAGCUAGUUGGUGGGGUAAAGGCCUACCACGGCGACGAUCCGUAACUGGUCUGAGAGGAUGAUCAGUCACACGGGAACUGAGACACGGUCCAGACUCCUACGGGAGGCAGCAGUGGGGAAUAUUGGACAAUGGGCGAAAGCCUGAUCCAGCCAUGCCGCGUGUGUGAAGAAGGUCUUCGGAUUGUAAAGCACUUUAAGUUGGGAGGCGUUACCAACAGAAUAAGCACCGGCUAACUCCGUGCCAGCAGCCGCGGUAAUAC
rnacentral:rRNA from 1 species